CAGUAGGGAAUCUUCCGCAAUGGACGAAAGUCUGACGGAGCAACGCCGCGUGAACGAUGAAGGCUUUCGGGUCGUAAAGUUCUGUUGUUAGGGAAGAACAAGUAYCGGAGUAACUGCCGGUACCUUGACGGUACCUAACCAGAAAGCCACGGCUAACUACGUGCCAGCAGCCGCGGUAAUACGUAGGUGGCAAGCGUUGUCCGGAAUUAUUGGGCGUAAAGCGCGCGCAGGCGGUUCCUUAAGUCUGAUGUGAAAGCCCCCGGCUCAACCGGGGAGGGUCAUUGGAAACUGGGGAACUUGAGUGCAGAAGAGGAGAGCGGAAUUCCACGUGUAGCGGUGAAAUGCGUAGAGAUGUGGAGGAACACCAGUGGCGAAGGCGGCUCUCUGGUCUGUAACUGACGCUGAGGCGCGAAAGCGUGGGGAGCGAACAGGAUUAGAUACCCUGGUAGUCCACGCCGUAAACGAUGAGUGCUAAGUGUUAGAGGGUUUCCGCCCUUUAGUGCUGCAGCAAACGCAUUAAGCACUCCGCCUGGGGAGUACGGCCGCAAGGCUGAAACUCAAAGGAAUUGACGGGGGCCCGCACAAGCGGUGGAGCAUGUGGUUUAAUUYGAAGCAACGCGAAGAACCUUACCAGGUCCUUGACAUCCUCUGACAACCCUAGAGA
rnacentral:rRNA from 2 species